rnacentral:rRNA from 1 species
UACGUAGGGAGCAAGCGUUGUCCGGAAUUAUUGGGCGUAAAGAGCUUGUAGGCGGUUUGUCGCGUCUGCUGUGAAAAUCCGGGGCUCAACCCCGGACUUGCAGUGGGUACGGGCAGACUAGAGUGUGGUAGGGGAGACUGGAAUUCCUGGUGUAGCGGUGAAAUGCGCAGAUAUCAGGAGGAACACCGAUGGCGAAGGCAGGUCUCUGGGCCACUACUGACGCUGAGAAGCGAAAGCAUGGGGAGCGAACAGG